rnacentral:rRNA from 1 species
UCUUGGUCAUUUAGAGGAAGUAAAAGUCGUAAACAAGGUUUCCGUAGGUGAAACCUGCGGAAGGAUCAUUA